CGAGUGGCGGACGGGUGAGUAAUGUCUGGGAAACUGCCUGAUGGAGGGGGAUAACUACUGGAAACGGUAGCUAAUACCGCAUAACGUCGCAAGACCAAAGAGGGGGACCUUCGGGCCUCUUGCCAUCGGAUGUGCCCAGAUGGGAUUAGCUUGUUGGUGGGGUAACGGCUCACCUAGGCGACGAUCCCUAGCUGGUCUGAGAGGAUGACCAGCCACACUGGAACUGAGACACGGUCCAGACUCCUACGGGAGGCAGCAGUGGGGAAUAUUGCACAAUGGGCGCAAGCCUGAUGCAGCCAUGCCGCGUGUAUGAAGAAGGCCUUCGGGUUGUAAAGUACUUUCAGCGGGGAGGAAGGGAGUAAAGUUAAUACCUUUGCUCAUUGACGUUACCCGCAGAAGAAGCACCGGCUAACUCCGUGCCAGCAGCCGCGGUAAUACGGAGGGUGCAAGCGUUAAUCGGAAUUACUGGGCGUAAAGCGCACGCAGGCGGUUUGUUAAGUCAGAUGUGAAAUCCCCGGGCUCAACCUGGGAACUGCAUCUGAUACUGGCAAGCUUGAGUCUCGUAGAGGGGGGUAGAAUUCCAGGUGUAGCGGUGAAAUGCGUAGAGAUCUGGAGGAAUACCGGUGGCGAAGGCGGCCCCCUGGACGAAGACUGACGCUCAGGUGCGAAAGCG
rnacentral:rRNA from 1 species